AGAGACAGCAGUCGCCACGGGAAUACGAAGGGUGCAAGCGUUAAUCGGAAUUACUGGGCGUAAAGCGCGCGUAGGUGGUUUGGUAAGAUGGAUGUGAAAUCCCCGGGCUCAACCUGGGAACUGCAUCCAUAACUGCCUGACUGGAGUACGGUAGAGGGUGGUGGAAUUUCCUGUGUAGCGGUGAAAUGCGUAGAUAUAGGAAGGAACACCAGUGGCGAAGGCGACCACCUGGACUGAUACUGACACUGAGGUGCGAAAGCGUGGGGAGCAAACAGGAUUAGAUACCCCAGUAGUCCCUGUCUCUUAUAC
rnacentral:rRNA from 1 species